CCAUCGGUGGUUCAGUGGUAGAAUUCCCGCCUGCCACGCGGGUGGCCCGGGUUCGAUUCCCGGCCGAUGCA
rnacentral:tRNA from 1 species